ensembl:lncRNA
CACAGACCUUGACAGAAAACAGAUCCCUUGUUGUUGGUGGUGUUCCUGAAGUUCGUGGACAGAAGAAAUACCAUGAAAAGAAAAACUACUGUUUGUUCUGUUACAAGCCUCAAUCCAAGAUUGCGCGACAUCUGGAACGUAAGCAUCCAGAUGAAACUGAGGUCGCUUCAGUAAUAAUCUUGCCAAAAAAAUCCAAACAACGGAGGAUUGGUCUUGAUCUCCUUCGCAAGCAAGGAAAUAGGACACAUAACAUUGAGACAUUGCAAAAAGGAAAAGGGACGCUGGUAGCAUGCAAGCGACAGAGUAAUGACCACUCUAUUCCAGCAGACUAUCAACACUGUUUUGCUUGCUUUGGGCUUUAUAAACGCAAAUAUCUUUGGAAACAUGCAAAACAAUGCUCACUCGCUGUAGAAGCUCGCAAAUGUUUGCCUGGCAAAACACGAAUCCAGACUCUCUGUGCAGGUUCUCAGCCUGUGCCUAAAGAAGUGAACAAGAAAGUAUGGGCACUUGUGAACGGCAUGACUCAGGAUAACAUUACUCAAGCAAUAAAAGAAGAUAGCCAUAUCUUAAAAGUUGGAGAAAAAAUGUAUAAUAGACAACGACAAACCGCUUCACAACACAACAACAUACGUCAGAUUAUGCGAGGCCUUGGCAGACUCUUGAUCCAAGGAAGGCGGGUGACUCCUCUGAAAAAGAUGGAGGAUUACAUCCAUCCAAAGAACUUUCAUCAUGUCAUCCGGGCAGUGAAAAAAGUAACUGGCUUCAAUGAAAAUGGCAACAAGUUUGAUAAACCCACUUUUGCUACAAAGCUAGGGCAAAGUGUCCAGAGAGUGGCUGAUAUCAUUGAGGCUGAAGCACUUGCAUCUCAGAAUAAUGAUAAAAAGGUGCUUGUUCAGGAGUUUAGGCGUAUGUACUGUCUCACUUGGAAUGAGAUGAUCUCUUCAGCUGCAUACCGCACGCUAGAAGAAAAGAAAUGGAACAAACCAAAGCUUAUCCCUUUAGCAGAUGACGUAAAAAGAAUGCACAUGUGUAUGGCUGUGAGGCAGAAAGACUACAAUGAACAGUUGCUGAAUCAUAAAACUCCCAAGAACUGGAGCAAUCUGGCCAAAGUUACACUUGCACAGGUGAUCCUUUUCAACAGGAGGAGAGAAGGAGAAGUCUCAAAUAUGAAAUUGGAAACCUAUGUUGGAAGGGAUCGAUCUCCACUCAAUAAAGAUGUAGCUGAAGCGUUAUCAGAGGUCGAAAAAAAGCUUUGUCAGCAUUUUGAAAGAGUGGAGAUCAGAGGAAAGCGAGGCAGGAGAGUACCGAUCAUUCUCACUCCAACCAUGGUUCAAUCCCUGGACCUGAUGGUAAAGGAGAGGAGCUCAUGUGGCGUGGGUAACAAUUCCUUCUUGUUUGCCAGACCAGGAUAUGACUCAAGACAGAGGGGGUCAGAUUGCAUUCGUGAGCUCGCGAGAAGCUGUGGUGCACACAAACCUGAAGCUUUCUCAUCAACAAAGCUAAGAAGGCAGGUGGCCACUUUGUCAAGAGUGCUAAAUUUGAAUGACUCGGAACAGGAUCUGUUCGCGGACUUCUUAGGACACGAUAUCAGAGUCCACCGAAAGUUUUACCGCCUUCCUGAAGGAACUUUGCAACUUGCAAAAAUAAGUAAAGUACUGAUGGCAUGUGAACAAGGGAGGCUGGCAGACUUUAAGGGAAAAGGACUGGACCAAAUAUCAAUAACGCCUCAUGAUGGAUCCCACGUCAUAGAAGAAAGUUCAGGGAUGUCAUCUGAAGAUGAUGUAAAGGCAGAUUCAACAGGAGGAACUUCAAUGACUCAGAACCAGGAGGAGCAUCACAACCUGCAGCUUGAUGAUGAGCAACGUGUAGAAGGGAAAACUACAGUGACUGAGAUCAAGAAGGUGGCCGUAGAACAGGAGCUGGUAGUGGACAGUUGCAGCUCAAAAGGUGAGCUCACACAUUUGUCAUGCUCGUCAUCUUCAAGUGUAGAAAAAACCCUGAGAAUACAGGAAUAACAAGGCCUCAGCAUUGGUUCUGUGAUCC